rnacentral:rRNA from 1 species
GGUUAAGUGACUAAGCGUACACGGUGGAUGCCUGGGCAGUCAGAGGCGAUGAAGGACGUACUAACUUGCGAUAAGCGCAGAUAAGGCAGUAAGAGCCGUUUGAGUCUGCGAUUUCCGAAUGGGGAAACCCAACUGCAUAAGCAGUUACUGUUAACUGAAUACAUAGGUUAACAGAGCAAACCGGGGGAACUGAAACAUCUAAGUACCCCGAGGAGAAGAAAUCAACCGAGAUUCCGGUAGUAGCGGCGAGCGAACCUGGAUUAGCCCUUAAGCACUCGGUGAAGUAGGUGAACAAGCUGGAAAGCUUGGCGAUACAGGUGAUAGCCCCGUAACCGACGCUUCAUCGAGCGUGAAAUCGAGUAGGGCGGGACACGUGAUAUCCUGUCUGAAUAUGGGGGGACCAUCCUCCAAGGCUAAAUACUCCUGACUGACCGAUAGUGAACCAGUACCGUGAGGGAAAGGCGAAAAGAACCCCUGUGAGGGGAGUGAAAUAGAACCUGAAACCGUGUACGUACAAGCAGUAGGAGCACCUUCGUGGUGUGACUGCGUACCUUUUGUAUAAUGGGUCAGCGACUUAUAUUCAGUGGCAAGGUUAACCGUAUAGGGGAGCCGUAGCGAAAGCGAGUCUUAACUGGGCGCUCAGUCUCUGGAUAUAGACCCGAAACCGGGUGAUCUAGCCAUGGGCAGGUUGAAGGUUGAGUAACAUCAACUGGAGGACCGAACCGACUAAUGUUGAAAAAUUAGCGGAUGACUUGUGGCUAGGGGUGAAAGGCCAAUCAAACUCGGAGAUAGCUGGUUCUCCCCGAAAGCUAUUUAGGUAGCGCCUCGGACGAAUACUACUGGGGGUAGAGCACUGUUAAGGCUAGGGGGUCAUCCCGACUUACCAACCCUUUGCAAACUCCGAAUACCAGUAAGUACUAUCCGGGAGACACACGGCGGGUGCUAACGUCCGUCGUGGAGAGGGAAACAACCCAGACCGCCAGCUAAGGUCCCAAAGUAUUGCUAAGUGGGAAACGAUGUGGGAAGGCUCAGACAGCUAGGAUGUUGGCUUAGAAGCAGCCAUCAUUUAAAGAAAGCGUAAUAGCUCACUAGUCGAGUCGGCCUGCGCGGAAGAUGUAACGGGGCUAAGCAAUACACCGAAGCUGCGGCAAUGUCUUUUAGACAUUGGGUAGGGGAGCGUUCUGUAAGCCGUUGAAGGUGAAUCGUAAGGUUUGCUGGAGGUAUCAGAAGUGCGAAUGCUGACAUGAGUAACGACAAAGGGGGUGAAAAACCUCCUCGCCGGAAGACCAAGGGUUCCUGUCCAACGUUAAUCGGGGCAGGGUGAGUCGACCCCUAAGGUGAGGCCGAAAGGCGUAAUCGAUGGGAAACGGGUUAAUAUUCCCGUACUUCUGACUAUUGCGAUGGGGGGACGGAGAAGGCUAGGUGGGCCAGGCGACGGUUGUCCUGGUUCAAGUGCGUAGGCUUGAGAGUUAGGUAAAUCCGGCUCUCUCUAAGGCUGAGACACGACGUCGAGCUACUACGGUAGUGAAGUCAUUGAUGCCAUGCUUCCAGGAAAAGCCUCUAAGCUUCAGAUAGUCAGGAAUCGUACCCCAAACCGACACAGGUGGUCGGGUAGAGAAUACCAAGGCGCUUGAGAGAACUCGGGUGAAGGAACUAGGCAAAAUGGUACCGUAACUUCGGGAGAAGGUACGCUCUUGAUGGUGAAGUCCCUCGCGGAUGGAGCUGACGAGAGUCGCAGAUACCAGGUGGCUGCAACUGUUUAUUAAAAACACAGCACUGUGCAAAAUCGCAAGAUGACGUAUACGGUGUGACGCCUGCCCGGUGCCGGAAGGUUAAUUGAUGGGGUUAGCGCAAGCGAAGCUCUUGAUCGAAGCCCCGGUAAACGGCGGCCGUAACUAUAACGGUCCUAAGGUAGCGAAAUUCCUUGUCGGGUAAGUUCCGACCUGCACGAAUGGCGUAAUGAUGGCCACGCUGUCUCCACCCGAGACUCAGUGAAAUUGAAAUCGCUGUGAAGAUGCAGUGUACCCGCGGCUAGACGGAAAGACCCCGUGAACCUUUACUACAGCUUGGCACUGAACAUUGAACCUACAUGUGUAGGAUAGGUGGGAGGCUAUGAAGACGUGACGCCAGUUGCGUUGGAGCCGUCCUUGAAAUACCACCCUUGUAUGUUUGAUGUUCUAACUUAGACCCAUUAUCUGGGUUGAGGACAGUGCCUGGUGGGUAGUUUGACUGGGGCGGUCUCCUCCCAAAGAGUAACGGAGGAGCACGAAGGUGGGCUAAUCACGGUUGGACAUCGUGAGGUUAGUGCAAUGGCAUAAGCCCGCUUAACUGCGAGAAUGACGGUUCGAGCAGGUGCGAAAGCAGGUCAUAGUGAUCCGGUGGUUCUGUAUGGAAGGGCCAUCGCUCAACGGAUAAAAGGUACUCCGGGGAUAACAGGCUGAUACCGCCCAAGAGUUCAUAUCGACGGCGGUGUUUGGCACCUCGAUGUCGGCUCAUCACAUCCUGGGGCUGAAGUCGGUCCCAAGGGUAUGGCUGUUCGCCAUUUAAAGUGGUACGCGAGCUGGGUUUAGAACGUCGUGAGACAGUUCGGUCCCUAUCUGCCGUGGGCGUUGGAAGAUUGAAGGGGGCUGCUCCUAGUACGAGAGGACCGGAGUGGACGAACCUCUGGUGUUCGGGUUGUGUCGCCAGACGCAUUGCCCGGUAGCUAAGUUCGGAAUUGAUAAGCGCUGAAAGCAUCUAAGCGCGAAGCGAGCCCUGAGAUGAGUCUUCCCUGACAGUUUAACUGUCCUAAAGGGUUGUUCGAGACUAGAACGUUGAUAGGCAGGGUGUGUAAGCGUUGUGAGGCGUUGAGCUAACCUGUACUAAUUGCCCGUGAGGCUUAACCAU